CUUCCACAUCCGUCUGUGAAGCGCGGCGAGCUCGGAGAGGUCUGCCAUCUUCACGGCACGGAUGACUGGCUCCGGGGAGACGGCCUGGAUGACACCCAUCACCAUGACAUAUGUGCCUGUAAAAACAGCAGCAGGUGUAAAUAAUAACAUUAAUGAUGGCUGCAGUCGAUUCAGUUUGAACAGCUCUAACUUCCUCAGUGAUGCAGUUUAAACAGGUUGUGCCGCUUAACAAAAGACAGUCCUCAACAGAUUAAAGGUGACUGUAUCACACCUGACAGGUUCUCAUUAAGACUUCUUCUCUGGUCAGGAACAAGCUUCACUCUGAUUAACUCACCUUGGGACAAACACGGUUUUCCUUUGGGGAUGUUGUUGAC